rnacentral:rRNA from 1 species
GCUGCCAAGAAAAGCCUCUAAGUGUUGAAGUAUAAGCGCCCGUACCGCAAACCGACACCGGUAGGUGGGUAGAAUAUACCAAGGGGAUCGGGAGAACCCUCGUUAAGGAAUUAGGCAAAAUACAUCCGUAACUUCGGGAGAAGGAUGGCCCCUGAUGGUUAGCUAUUAAGCAAAGCUGUUGGGGGCCGCAGAGAAAUGGCUCUUCCAACUGUUUAACAAAAACACAGGUCUCUGCUAAGUCGAAAGACGAAGUAUAGGGGCUGACGCCUGCCCAGUGCUGGAAGGUUAAGGGGAGAGGUUAGACGUAAGUCAAAGCUUUGAACCGAAGCCCCAGUGAACGGCGGCCGUAACUAUAACGGUCCUAAGGUAGCGAAAUUCCUUGUCGGGUAAGUUCCGACCCGCACGAAUGGCGUAAUGAGAGGAGCACUGUCUCAACGAGGGACCCGGCGAAAUUGAAGUACGUGUAAAGAUGCGCGUUACCCGCAGCGGGACAAAAAGACCCCGUGGAGCUUUACUACAACUUGGCAUUGGAUUAGGGCUUAACUUGUGUAGGAUAGGUGGGAGGCUAUGAAGCUGGGACGCCAGUCUCGGUGGAGCCAACCUUGAAAUACCACCCUGGUUAAGUUUUGAUUCUAACCUGCGUCCGUAAUCCGGCGUGGGAACAGUGCCUGGUGGGUAGUUUGACUGGGGCGGUCGCCUCCGAAAGAGUAACAGAGGCGCCCAAAGGUUCUCUCAGGCUGAAUGGAAACCAGCCAUAGAGUGUAAAGGCACAAGAGAGCUUGACUGCAAGACCUACAAGUCGCGCAGGGACGAAAGUCGGGCUUAGUGAUCCCACGGUACCGAGUGGAAGGGCCGUGGCUUACCGGAUAAAAGCUACCCCGGGGAUAACAGGGUAGUCUGGUCCAAGAGUUCAUAUCGACGACCAGGUUCGCCACCUCGAUGUCGGCUCAUCACAUCCUGGGGCUGGAUAAGGUCCCAAGGGUUGGGCUGUUCGCCCAUUAAAGUGGUACGUGAGCUGGGUUCAGACCGUCGUGAGACAGGUCGGUCUCUAUCCGCUGUGGGCGUAAGGGAUUUGAGAGGAGCUGCCCCUAGUACGAGAGGACCGGGGUGGACAGACCUCUGGUGUGCCAGUUGUUCCGCCAGGAGCAUAGCUGGGUAGCCAAGUCUGGCAGAGAUAACCGCUGAAAGCAUCUAAGUGGGAAACUCGCCUCAAGAUGAGAUCCCUCAUCCGUAAUGGAGUAAGACCGCUAGGAGACCACUAGCUUGAUAGGCGGCAUGUGUAAGUACAGUAACGUAUUCAGCUAAGCCGUACUAAUGGUCGA